UUCCCAUGCUAAUGGAGUCAGUGAGGAAGUGGUUUACGAACAGCAGCCACUGUACCCUUCACUGGAUGGCUGCAGGGAACCUUUUCAGACAUGCUCAGAGAAAUCUGCCCAGGGUCACUGAGAUACCUCUGAGAU
ensembl:misc_RNA